CGAGUUUGAUCAUCGGCUCAGGAUUAACGCUAGCGGCAGGCCUAAUACAUGCAAGUCGAACGGCAGCGGGUGUAGCAAUACAUGCCGGCGAGUGGCGCACGGGUGCGUAACGCGUAUGCAAUCUACCUGUAACUGGGGAAUAGCCUUCCGAAAGGAAGAUUAAUACCGCAUAAUAUCAUGAAGUGGCAUCAUUUUAUGAUCAAAACUCCGCCUAGAGAGAAGCUCGCGGCUGAUUAGCUUGUUGGUAAGGUAAGAGCUUACCAAGGCGACGAUCAGUAUCUGGUUUGAGAGGACGAUCAGACACACUGGAACUGAGACACGGUCCAGACUCCUACGGGAGGCAGCAGUGGGGGAAUUUUCCGCAAUGGGCGAAAGCCUGACGGAGCAAUACCGCGUGAGGGAAGAAUGCCUAUGGGUUGUAAACCUCUUUUUUCAGGGAGGAAUAAAAUGACGUGUACCUGAAGAAUAAGCAUCGGCUAACUCCGUG
rnacentral:rRNA from 1 species